rnacentral:rRNA from 1 species
UUCAAUUCGACGCAACGCGAAGAACCUUACCCAGGCUUGAACAGCCAGUGACCACGCCCGAAAGGGCGCUUCCGCAAGGACACUGGUAGAGGUGCUGCAUGGCUGUCGUCAGCUCGUGUCGUGAGAUGUUGGGUUAAGUCCCGCAACGAGCGCAACCCUUGUCUGCUGUUGCCAUCACGUUAUGGUGGGCACUCUGCAGAGACUGCCGGUGAUAAACCGGAGGAAGGUGGGGAUGACGUCAAGUCAGCAUGGCCUUUAUGUCUGGGGCUACACACGUGCUACAAUGGCAGAUACAAACCGUCGCGAGACCGCAAGGUGGAGCUAAUCGGAGAAAGUCUGUCUCAGUUCGGAUUGUCGGCUGCAACUCGCCGGCAUGAAGUUGGAAUCGCUAGUAAUCGCGGAUCAGCACGCCGCGGUGAAUACGUUCCCGGGCAAUCUCUA